rnacentral:rRNA from 1 species
GGGUUGUGAGGUUAAGCGACUAAGCGUACACGGUGGAUGCCCUGGCAGUCAGAGGCGAUGAAGGGCGUGCUAAUCUGCGAUAAGCGCCGGUAAGGGGAUAUGAACCGUUAUAACCGGCGAUACCCGAAUGGGGAAACCCAGUGUGAUUCGUCACACUAUCAUUAACUGAAUCCAUAGGUUAAUGAGGCGAACCGGGGGAACUGAAACAUCUAAGUACCCCGAGGAAAAGAAAUCAACCGAGAUUCCCCCAGUAGCGGCGAGCGAACGGGGAGGAGCCCAGAGCCUGAAUCAGCAUGUGUGUUAGUGGAAGCGUCUGGAAAGGCGCGCGAUACAGGGUGACAGCCCCGUACACAAAAGCGCAUGUGCUGUGAGCUCGAUGAGUAGGGCGGGACACGUGGUAUCCUGUCUGAAUAUGGGGGGACCAUCCUCCAAGGCUAAAUACUCCUGACUGACCGAUAGUGAACCAGUACCGUGAGGGAAAGGCGAAAAGAACCCCGGCGAGGGGAGUGAAAAAGAACCUGAAACCGUGUACGUACAAGCAGUGGGAGCCCCACCACUAAGCCAGUGGUGAACUCCACAUCCGCAUCCUUUGCUGAGGAUACGGUUAACGGAGCGAAAGCGACGUUCAACCGCAAAACAAGCAGAGGGGGCUUAGUGGUGGGGUGACUGCGUACCUUUUGUAUAAUGGGUCAGCGACUUAUAUUCUGUAGCAAGGUUAACCGAAUAGGGGAGCCGGAGGGAAACCGAGUCUUAAUUGGGCGUUAAGUUGCAGGGUAUAGACCCGAAACCCGGUGAUCUAGCCAUGGGCAGGUUGAAGGUUGGGUAACACUAACUGGAGGACCGAACCGACUAAUGUUGAAAAAUUAGCGGAUGACCUGUGGCUGGGGGUGAAAGGCCAAUCAAACCGGGAGAUAGCUGGUUCUCCCCGAAAGCUAUUUAGGUAGCGCCUCGUGAAUUCAUCUCCGGGGGUAGAGCACUGUUUCGGCUAGGCGGCCAUCCCGGCUUACCAACCCGAUGCAAACUGCGAAUACCGGAGAAUGUUAUCACGGGAGACACACGGCGGGUGCUAACGUCCGUCGUGAAGAGGGAAACAACCCAGACCGCCAGCUAAGGUCCCAAAGUCAUGGUUAAGUGGGAAACGAUGUGGGAAGGCCCAGACAGCCAGGAUGUUGGCUUAGAAGCAGCCAUCAUUUAAAGAAAGCGUAAUAGCUCACUGGUCGAGUCGGCCUGCGCGGAAGAUGUAACGGGGCUAAACCAUGCACCGAAGCUGCGGCAGCGA